rnacentral:rRNA from 1 species
CAGUCGCCGCGGGAAUACGGAGGGUGCAAGCGUUAAUCGGAAUUACUGGGCGUGAAGCGCACGCAGGCGGUCUGUCAAGUCGGAUGUGAAAUCCCCGGGCUCAACCUGGGAACUGCAUUCGAAACUGGCAGGCUAGAGUCUUGUAGAGGGGGGUAGAAUUCCAGGUGUAGCGGUGAAAUGCGUAGAGAUCUGGAGGAAUACCGGUGGCGAAGGCGGCCCCCUGGACAAAGACUGACGCUCAGGUGCGAAAGCGUGGGGAGCAAACAGGAUUAGAUACCCGUGUAGUCCCUGUCUCUUAUAA